rnacentral:rRNA from 1 species
AGUGAACGCUGGCGGUAGGCCUAACACAUGCAAGUCGAACGGCAGCACAGUAAGAGCUUGCUCUUACGGGUGGCGAGUGGCGGACGGGUGAGGAAUACAUCGGAAUCUACUUUUUCGUGGGGGAUAACGUAGGGAAACUUACGCUAAUACCGCAUACGACCUACGGGUGAAAGCAGGGGAUCUUCGGACCUUGCGCGAUUGAAUGAGCCGAUGUCGAAUUAGCUAGUUGGCGGGGUAAAGGCCCACCAAGUCGACGAUCCGUAGCUGGUGUGAGAGGAUGAUCGGCCACACUGGAACUGGGACACGGUCCAGACUCCUACGGGAGGCAGCAGUGGGGAAUAUUGGACAAUGGGCGCAAGCCUGGUCCAGCCAUACCGCGUGGGUGAAGAAGGCCUUCGGGUUGUAAAGCCCUUUUGUUGGGAAAGAAAAGCAGCAGGUUAAUACCCCGCUGUUCUGACGGUACCCAAAGAAUAAGCACCGGCUAACUUCGUG